rnacentral:tRNA from 1 species
GGGGCCGUAGGGUAGCUUGGUAUCCUACUAGCUUGGGGUGCUAGCGACCUGAGUUCAAAUCUCAGCGGCCCCA